rnacentral:tRNA from 1 species
CCUAUUUGACUCCNAAAAUCUUUAUCCUACCCCCCUUUCCGUUAGCG